GCGACCCCAGGUCAGGAGGGGACACCCACUGAGUUUAAGGAUAUCAAUAAGCGGAGGAGAAGAAACUUACAAGGAUUCCCCUAGUAACGGCGAGU
rnacentral:rRNA from 1 species